rnacentral:rRNA from 1 species
UCAAAGGUUCUCUCAGUACGGUCGGAAAUCGUACGUAGAGUGUAAAGGCAAAAGAGAGCUUGAUUGCAAGACAUACAGGUCGAGCAAGGAUGAAAAUCGGACUUAGUGAUCCGGUGGUUCUGCGUGGAAGGGCCAUCGCUCAACGGAUAAAAGCUACCCUGGGGAUAACAGGCUUAUCUCCCCCAAGAGUCCACAUCGACGGGGAGGUUUGGCACCUCGAUGUCGGCUCAUCACAUCCUGGGGCUGUAGUAGGUCCCAAGGGUUGGGCUGUUCGCCCAUUAAAGUGGUACGCGAGCUGGGUUCAGAACGUCGUGAGACAGUUCGGUCCCUAUCCGUCGCAGGCGUAGGAAAUUUGAGAAGACCUGUCCUUAGUACGAGAGGACCGGGAUGGACGUACCUCUGGUGUACCAGUUGUUCUGCCAAGGGCAUGGCUGGGUAGCUAUGUACGGAAUGGAUAAGCGCUGAAAGCAUCUAAGCGCGAAGCCAACUUCAAGAUAAGAUUUCCCACCGCAGGGGUAAGACCCCAGAAAGACUAUCUGGUUGAUAGGUCGAAGGUGUAAGUGCAGCAAUGUAUUUAGCUUAUCGAUACUAAUAGGUCGAGGACUUGACCAAU